rnacentral:pre_miRNA from 1 species
UUUUCUACAAAUUGGAAUGACCUGAAAUUUGGAGCGCGUGUUUAUAAAAAAUAGACUAAUCUACAAAAAAUAUCAAAAAAAUAUUUUACACGAAAAAAAUUAACCAAAACACCCCUGAAAAGUUUUGGGGGUAUUUUGAUCAAUUUAGUUUUUUGCGAAUUAUUUUUUUUAUAUUUUUAUGAGGUCCGCCUCACUAAGAUGUACACACGCUCCAAAUUUUAGGUCAUUCCGAUUUGUAGAAAA